GCGGGAUCGAGAGCUCUCAAUGGAAGCCAGGAUCCCACGAUGGGAAGACUGAGGCCCAUUGAGAACACGCUGCCUGUGUGAGGUCACACCGCAAGUCACCAGCCAGGCACCAGGAGGCCAGGUAGGACCCGGCUUCGUGGCCUUGCCUUCUUGCAGUCAGGAAUCUACUUCCUUGGCCUUUGGACAAUCAAGCCAGGCUUUGACACCCCCACCCCCACCUUGCCAGCAGGGCCCCCUGCCCCUGGGCACUGCUCAGGCUGAUGCAAUCCCCUGACCACACUGCAAGGCCACGUCCUUCUGCCCUCCUGGCUGCACCCCCUGACCUUGGCCUCAGCAGGGAGGCAGGCAGUCUGCCAGGCCAUGGGAGACCCGUCAGGGCUCUCACAGGAGGUGGCUUGGCCAGGGUGUGUGGCUGGACAGAAGGGGGGCUGGCCUCCCCAAUCCUCCCCUUGCCUGAGCAGCCCCUGAGUAGCCCUGGCUGCCCCUGUGCCCACUGGCGGGCACUCCCAGGCUGUGGGCCCUGCGGCUGGAGCUAAAAUUAGACUCAGCGGCCCAUGUGGGCUCUCGGGGUCGGUUGGGGUCAAGGCCUGGGUGCAGCCGGUGCCCCCUGCCUGGGGGGCUGGGAGUGCUCUGGGUCCUAGUCCUCUCCCACCCCGCCGCUGUCCCCAACUCAGGCAGCUCGCCACCCCCCCCCUCAGCUGGUCCUGCACCCUCUGACUUGCAGCUAUCCGGGUGCCGACGCCGGGGACCCUGCCCCACGCUCCUGUCCCAUGGCCCCCCAGCCCUGCCGGGCGUCUCGGUCUUCUCCCCCGUUCCCUCUCAGGGCAGUAUCUGGCCUGACUGGAUCUCUUUCCCAGCCUGGCUCCUCCCUUGCCAGCCCUGAUUCGUUCCUGCCUGGGAGGCAGGGUCUCCUCUUAACCCAUUCCAAACCAGUUUCCUCGAUGGUCAAUAAUCCUCACCAGCAGGACCCACACCUCACAGAUGCCUCGCGCUAUCACAGCUUCUGAACCCACACAUCAACGCUCCAAGGCAGAGGUUUAGCACUGCCAUUUUUCACAGGAUUAGCCCCACCUCAUCCAGCUGUGGCCUUUUCAGGCCCACUUCUGGCACCUCUCACUCAGGUGUCCAGGUAGGUCUGCCCUUGCCUGGAGCUCUGGAGGGAAGGUCUUGAUGCUCAUCCUCCAGUCCAUAUGAAGGCACCGUCUCUGAGGAACAUCAGGAUCCAGGCAAUCACAGGACGAGGGGGGCGGGGAGCAUGGGAGUGCACCGAGAGACACCUGCCCUAACGCUUGAAGGACACAGCACCGCUCGGACUCCAAGGAAGAAGUUGCCACAGGGCAGAGACAGAAGUGGGGAGCCAUGUGGGCCCA